UACGGUGGGGGCAAGCGUUGUUCGGAAUUACUGGGCGUAAAGGGCUCGUAGGCGGCCAACUAAGUCAGACGUGAAAUCCCUCGGCUUAACCGGGGAACUGCGUCUGAUACUGGAUGGCUUGAGAUUGGGAGAGGGAUGCGGAAUUCCAGGUGUAGCGGUGAAAUGCGUAGAUAUCUGGAGGAACACCCGUGGCGAAGGCGGCUCUCUGGUCCGAAACUGACGCUGAGGUGCGAAAGCUAGGGUAGCAAACAGG
rnacentral:rRNA from 1 species